rnacentral:rRNA from 1 species
GCCACUGCUAUUGGGGUUCGGCUAAGCCAUGCGAGUGGAGGGCGUCCCGCAAGGGAUGGCCCCGCAGACGGCUCAGUAACACGUCGUCAACCCACCUUAGGGUGGGGGACAACCUCGGGAAACUGAGGAUAAUCCCCCAUAGGCGGGGGAGGCUGGAAUGCGCCCCCGCUGAAAGCUCAGGCGCCCUAGAACGGGACGGCGGCCUAUCAGGUAGUUGGUGGUGUGACG